UUCUGGUUGAUCCUGCCGGAGGCUACCGCUAUUGGAGUUCGAUUAAGCCAUGCGAGUCGAGAGUCUUAGGGACUCGGCGUACCGCUCAGUAACACGUGGGUAACCUGCCCUAUGCUGGGGAAUAACCUCGGGAAACUGAGAAUAAUACCUCAUAGUCCACAAUGCCUGGAACGGUUUGUGGAUUAAAGCCCCGGCGGCAUAGGAUGGGCCUGCGGCGUAUCAGGUUGUAGGGGGUGUAACGUACCCUCUAGCCAUCAACACGUACGGGUGUUGGGAGACAUAGCCCGGAGAUGGAUUCUGAGACACGAAUCCAGACCCUACGGGGUGCAGCAGGCGCGAAAACUUGGCAAUGCGAGAAAUCGUGACCAGGGAACUCCAAGUGGCUGGGGUAAGACCCAGUCUUUUCUUGACUCUUCAAAGGUCUUGGAAUAAGAGGUGGGUAAGGACGGUGCCAGCCGCCGCGGUAAUACCGGCGCCUCAAGUGGUAGUCGAUUUUAUUGGGCCUAAAACGUCCGUAGCCUGUUUGGUACAUUCGUGGGUAAAUCAACCAGCUUAACUGGUUGAAUUCUGCGAGCACGGCCAGACUUGGGACC
rnacentral:rRNA from 1 species